UAACGUAGGGUGGUAAUGCUGGAUGCUCCAACUUGACGCAUGUCUUGUUGGGAAAGUGUUUAGUGGCAUGGGAUGGGGUCGCGUCCUAUCAGCUUGUAGGCGGGGUAAUGGCCCACCUAGGCUUCGACGGGUAGCCGGCCUUAGAGGGCGGACGGCCACAUUGGGACUGAGAUACGGCCCAGACUCCUACGGGAGGCAGCAGAA
rnacentral:rRNA from 1 species